rnacentral:lncRNA from 1 species
AACACAAAUCCAAAUUGAGCGAAGAACAAAAAUGGAGGGAAUGGCGUACCUGCUUCUGGAGUGGCGAAGAUGGCUGCAACGUUGGUGGUGACUUUCGCCUGCUUGAUACCUUUCCUUCUGCUUUCCUUUUUGCUCUGUGCCCAUGGUCUGCUUUGUUUUCCAGCAGAUUUCGAGAUAGUGAAGGAACCGAGAACGAAGAUGCCGGCUUCCGUGGAUACUGCUUUUUGGGUCGUUUUCUGUGAAUGAAAGCAAUGGCAGAACCGAUUCCCCUCUCUGUGUAUUUUUUUCUGGGUUUAUGCUCUGUGUUUGCUCUGUUUUUUUCUGUUCUUAUGCUCUGUUUUCGUCCCUUGUGUUCUAGGUUUUACUUCUGGUUUUUCGUUCGUCCCCCCUCUGUUGCUGACCCCUCCUCCUCUGUUGCUGAGGCCUUUUUCUGGGUUUUGCUUAAGUCUUUGUUCCCAGUUUUUUGUUCAAUCUCCCCCUUUUCUCUGCUCUGCUUUUUAUAAGGCCAGAGAGCUUUAAAAAAACGUUACCUCCACGAACGAGAUCGUGGUAGAAGACAUGGUCACGAUUUGGAUCGGAUGCAUUGUGAUUUUCCUGUUGAAUCGGCUGCCAUCCGCACGAAACGGACGGGAUGACGAACAGUAUUGCAAGCGGCACCGUUUGACUAUUUUCAAUUUGGUCCCUAAACGUUUUAAACUUAACAAUUGAGAUCUUAAUCAGUAAUAAUCAAUUUCUAACUGUGCCCUUGGAUUAGUUUCAAUUGAACCCUCAGUUAUAGUGCCAUUUACACAACAGUCCUUGGAUUUCUGGACUAUUCAAUUUGGUCCUUGGACUUUAAUUUUCUAGCAAUUUUUCUUUGUAUGAGUUCCAAACUUUGGUAUUUCUCAAUUAAAUCAAAGUUUAAUAAAAUCCUCAAACUUAUCAAUUCUUUAAUUAAGCUCUUGAUUUUAUUAAUUAAACUAAUCUAAAUUUUAAUUAAAUUCUCAAACUUAUUAAUUUUUUAAUUUCUGACCAAUUGACUUUUAAAUUUUAAGAAUUUCAACCUUGAAUUUGAAUUUGUGUUGUCUUAACCCAAUUCUCAACCAUUAUCAUUUUUUUAAUAUUUAUUCAAAAAUUGGGUUAUGACAUUCUUCAUUUUUCUAACUUGCUUAACUUGGUAUAAAAAACUCAAAUUGACUUAAACAUCAGAGUUUUUUUUUUGUAGGUGACCCCAACUAUAAAAAUACAAGCCUAGUCCAUGAGGAAGAAGCCCAAAGAUUCAUUG